AGUGGACGCUGGCGGUAGGCCUAACACAUGCAAGUCGAACGGCAGCACAGUAAGAGCUUGCUCUUACGGGUGGCGAGUGGCGGACGGGUGAGGAAUACAUCGGAAUCUACUUUUUCGUGGGGGAUAACGUAGGGAAACUUACGCUAAUACCGCUUACGACCUACGGGUGAAAGCAGGGGAUCUUCGGACCUUGCGCGAUUGAAUGAGCCGAUGUCGGAUUAGCUAGUUGGCGGGGUAAAGGCCCACCAAGGCGACGAUCCGUAGCUGGUCUGAGAGGAUGAUCAGCCACACUGGAACUGAGACACGGUCCAGACUCCUACGGGAGGCAGCAGUGGGGAAUAUUGGACAAUGGGCGCAAGCCUGAUCCAGCCAUACCGCGUGGGUGAAGAAGGCCUUCGGGUUGUAAAGCCCUUUUGUUGGGAAAGAAAAGCAGCAGGUUAAUACCCCGCUGUUCUGACGGUACCCAAAGAAUAGGCACCGGCUAACUUCGUG
rnacentral:rRNA from 1 species